AUUAUUUUAACAUAUUAGUGUUUUAAAUUUAGAAUUUAAAUUAAAUUAUAUUUAUUAUAAUA
rnacentral:tRNA from 1 species